UGUUGAAUAACUCCCUCAACUUUCACUGCAUGCACAGUUAAAAACAACGCAAAAGCACGGCAUCUGUUGAUCCGAUGUGUGAAAUGUUCUGAGACCUGUCCGGGGACCUGUCAGCCAAUCCUGUCAUAACAAGUGGAUGAGGAUCAGAGAUAAACAUUUUCAGAGUUGACUUUGGAAUACAGUGCUUCUCUGCGAUACAACAGACACAAAGGGUGAAGCUCGACAGUUGCCAAUGUGAUGAACGGAGAGGGAAGGAAGCAAGCUGGAUUUUCAAGUGUUCGUUUCAGUUUCUGUCAGGGGCCGACUCCAGGACAUGUCCGGGUCGCUGACGGGACGCAGGAGUCAGAGGCCAUCCAUUCACUCCAGUCUCCUCCGCAGCAAUUCGUUUGCAGGUUUCCGCGAUGAUGUUCCGUCGGAUCCUUUCUUGGCGGUAAGUCGUUCAGUUU